UUAUGCGAGUCCAUGAGAGCUGCUGUAUUCAGGACUUUGCAGAUGGUUGCAUGAAAGCAAAUCACCAGCAUGACAGUAGUACGUGCUAGGGUUUCCUCUUAAGCAAUUUCCCCAGACAAUGUGGAGGAAGAGACAAGAAGAAAAGUGGUAAUGAACGGAGUCUGGAGCUGUUCCCAUCUCUGUAAGCUCAUGUGUCUACACAAGAGGCAGCAGAAUACAGAGGCAGCCUGGGUGGAGAGAUGCUCCCUGCUUUCCUACUGCACUGAACACGGGAGAAAAGCCUCAAACAGAAGUGAGUAGGGGAUGAUGGGAAACUCCUGGCUAUUCCACCCCCAAACUCCUGUCAAGAUUCAGUCUUGGGAACAGAGGACUCCAUUCUGCAGCAUCUGAGGAGGUGCAUUCCUGUCCCCCUCAGCAGGACUUGUGCUGCUGUGCCUAGCCAUCUGUUGGAGCUGUACCACUCUUCCCCAGGAUACUCAUCCCUGAAGGCUGCCCUGUGGAGAAUUAGCUAGGAAAUAGGAGAAGCUACCCAUCACAGGAAAAAAAAUCCUCAGAAAGUGGUGGGAAAACUGGAGGAUAAUAGCAGCUUCUAUUACCAAGUACAAUGGAAGUUCCUGUACAAAUACUCUACGGCAAUGGGAAUGGGAAGAAGGAAAGAGAACAGUAAAAGUGAAUUCUAACCUCUGAUGCCAGGAAAUGACUCAAUAAAUCAACAGUACUUUGAUCUGCAGAAUUAUGGGAUUUCUCUUCACGAUAAGGAAAAAAUCCAGACAGACCUCUUCAGUGUCUAUAAAAGUCUGUAAAUGACCACAGUCUGCAGUUGGAAAAGCCUGAUGACUGGCAAGAGACCCAGUGAGGACUGAAUAAUCAAGCUGUGCUAUUAAAAGGUUGGCCUACAACAUCAGAGGUGGACAUUGGUGGUAUGGCAGUAGAGGUUGAACCUUCUCGCCAAUAUCCCGUUACAUUCUGUUGCCAUGCAACAGAUCUCAGCAGAGAGGAAGUCUGAUAGAAUGAUGUCUGACGUGGAGGUGAUUGUGGCUGGAUAUAUUUAAAAACAGUUUGAGUGAUACAAGAGGCAAGCUUGUUCUUUUUACAUUCAAAUAUAUGCUUCACAAGGUACAACUUCAUUCUUUCAUCUCUUUUACGAUUCAGUCAUAUUUUAUUGAAAUUUCGUCAGUGUCUCUUUGUCACAGAUCCUGCCAAGCAUGCUCAAGCAGCUGAGAUGAGAGGUUGAAAGAAAAGUGACUGAACAGAAUUUUAACUAGGGACAGACAAAUAUCAGAUGGUUUGUUUCAUAUUGUGAAGCAAAGUACCUGAAUCUACCAUCUCUUUGAACAGUUUAUCCAAGCAUUAACGGAGUGUUCAGCCUGAUUCCACAGUGGUAUCCAGUCUUUCAGAGCAGAAGGUUGUAUCUUCAUAAAGACCUGCAUUUAUGAAGAUUCAGCGUGCCUGCAAUACUUUGGAUGAAGAAGGGUGGGUUGACAUGCCUGAUGAGACUGGAGUGGAUUCAGAAAGGCAGAGCUAUAUCCUCAAAAAUUCACAGUUCCAGGCACCUGUCUGGAAGAGAAGAACUACAUUCCCCAGAAGACUGUUUGCUGUUCUGCUAUCAUUCCUGCUCAGGGGGAACACAUAUAAGGCCUUGUGGCAGUAAUGGUAGCUGAGGUGAGGACCUGCCCCUCUCUAUGUCAAUGGAUGCUCUUUGUGAUUCUUCAUCCCAGCGAUUUGACAUCCUGUGAGUUACAUCCCAGUGAGGGAUGGAAAUUAAGUGGAAGCAACAAACACAGGAGUUCAUAUGGAUGCUAACAUUCCUUCUUUUACCAUUGUUCUAAUCCACAGACUCUAAAACAAAACACAAUUAUGCAGUAUCUGUUUGGCAAGCAAAUUCUAUUUCCUUAUGACCAGAAUAAGUACUGGCUUACCUCUCUGUUGUCUACUUGGUAAUUACAACCUGCCUUCUCCAGGUCAACCUGUUGGGGGUGAAAUUCUAAAAGUUUUCUUCCUUCUUCAGCCUCAAACUUUUUUUAAAAAAAAUUUUCCUCCCCUGCAGUCAAAAAGACCCGUGUGUACACUGUGGGAGAAGUGCUUACAGGCAAAACUUGUCUUCACUUGGAAAAGUCUUUACCAACCAUUUUUAACAUUUAAAAAUACUUUUUUGUGUUCUUUACUAUGUUAGUCCUCAUAACUCCCUGUAAAAAAUAAUUAUAGAAAAAAAUAAAAAAAAUUGAAAUAUCUACAUUCUCAACAAAAAUUGAUAUCUUUUGAUUUCUCAUGAUGAUGUAUUUUGCUAGAAUACUUCUGAAGGACUUGGUAAUGCAUCCAUAUUAUCCACAUUGUCUCACUGUUUCCUUAUGACAUGUCAGCUUUAUGUUUUCACUCAUUCUUUCAUAUUGUACUAGGCCCAUAAAUUUUCUGAAGCAUGAAUUGUCUUUCCGUUCUGUGUCUGUAAAAUGCGUAACCAUAGGUUUGUGGGCAACAAAUGUUGUACAGAUAUGAUAAUAGUGAUGGGAGCAGCAAAAAACAAAAAAACAACAAAAAAAACGAUCUUAGAUGUGGUGAUUUUGGAGCUGGUUCUAGGUCAUGCUGCUAAUUAUGCUGCUGACAGAUAGGUAAAGAAUAAGAGUUGCUAACCACACGUAUAAACAGGAACAGCACUUUUGCAGCUGGAAUCUAUACACUGGAUGUUUCUGUAGCAAGUCAGAAUCUGAUGAGGGUAUUUUUGUCUAUGAGGAAAGAGUGGUGAGAUUCCUCAGCAAGUGGUAAUAUUGGUGCUGAAGUGAUAGACUUUUGAUUGGCAGUGAAGAUGUCAAGAAAUUUUCCAUUUCUAGGUGCUUUCAUGAUGUACAGCUAAAUGGAACUGCAUAUGAAGCUAUGAUCAUUAAACACAUAAUAGACACAUUAUCUUGCUAGGUCUUGCUAGAAAAACAGCAGGAUGAUGAACAAUGUAUUGAAUUUCAUUAGAAUAAAAAUUGUUUAGGGGCCACCAUACCAUAUAGCAUUCCUUCAGUGAUAUGACUGCACCUGAUUAAAGUAGUCUUGAUUGCUUGAAUGUGAGAGUAGGGGACUGUUGGAUUAUUGUAGUCUUUUUGCAUGAGAUAAAAAGAGAUUAUUUAUCUUUGAAAUUAUCCAAAAUUCAUUAAUAAUGUACUUUAAAAUAUUAUUCUUAAAAAUGUUGUCAUUUUUAAAAUAUUCUUCAAAUGUUGUCAUUCACAGUGGUAAAUCCAUGUUCUUAGUGUACCCAUUAAAAAUUGUAUUAGCAUUUCAUGUGCAAACAAAAUAAUGUAAACAUUAUUUAAAGACUGUCACCACUAUUAUAAGUAUGUAUAAAGAAGUAAAGAAAGUGUAAUGUUGUCCUGGUUCUAUAAUGCUCAUUUUUUCCCUAACAGUCCCUCAACAUUACUAAAAGUGUGAAGGUUUCUUUUUAAAUAUAAAGAAAGUAUUUUUAGUGAAAUACUGUUACAUGGCUUGGUUAAGCA
ensembl:lncRNA